UUAUACAUUCGGACUCUAAAUCUCUACUCGUCAACAAUUGGAUAAUCGGAAAGCAUAUGCAAACUUUGUUGAUGAUGACGAUGCUAUGAAAAGAAGUAGCGUUGAUGCCUAGAUACACAUAUAGACGUUUAGGUUUAAUAUGUCGUAUCAAUUUUGCUUAUGUUAUCAUGUAUUUCUUUUGAAGUUGUUGUUACUUGAGUUUAUGUAAUGUUGACAAUUGAAAGUUAUGAAAUGAAAUGGGAAUUAUUUAAUUAUCGUCACAAAUAGUGUUAUGAUGUCU
rnacentral:lncRNA from 1 species